GAUGAACGCUGGCGGCGUGCCUAAUACAUGCAAGUCGAGCGUACGCACGAUAAUCUUUUUCCUUUGCUGUUUGCGGCUGACGGGUGUGUAACACGUGCAUCACCUUCUUCUUUUUCUUGGAUAAUUUCGUAUAACCGGUUCUACUACCGCCUCAUAUUUUGUACCGCUUGGUUCAAUAGUGAUUCUCGCUUUUCCUGUCUCUUUUAGCUGCUUCCGCGCUGCAUUAGCUAGUUGGUAAGGUAACGGCUUACCAAGGCGACGAUGCGUAGCAGACCUGAGAGGGUGAUCAGCCACACUGGAAGUGAGACACGGUCCAGACUCAUACGGGAGGCAGCAGUAGGGAAUAUUGGGCAAUGGGCGAAAGCAUGACGGAGCAACACCGCGUGAGUGAAGAAGGACUUCGGAUCGUAAAACACUGUUAUUAGGGAAGAAAAGAAGUAGAAGAAAAUGAAGACGUGUUGACGGUACCAAAAGAAAAAGCAACGGCUAACUACGUG
rnacentral:rRNA from 1 species